UAUGUACAUAAGACAUCUUUAGACCACCCCUAACAAAACUUAAUCAACUUCUUGUACUUUAACUUGCUUUGCACUUUAUUCGAGGAUAGGUUGUUCAUACUUCAUAUCCAUGAUCUGUUUAAAGAACAAUUGUGUAUAGGUCAUUUCCUUCCCUCUUGAAGCGGACAUGAGGAGCUGUGCGAAUGCAGAACUAUACAAAGAUAUAAUAAAGACAGAAUACAAGUCACAGGAAAUUCAUAUAUAAUAAUGAAGUCCAUUUUGUGUAGCAUGG